CUGGGGGAUGUAGCUCAGUGGUAGAGCGCG
rnacentral:piRNA from 1 species